AGCGAACGUUUGCGGCGGGCUUAACACAUGCAAGUCGAACGGGCUGUUCCUUCGGGGGCAGUCAGUGGCGCACGGGUGCGUAACACGUAGGUAAUCAACCCUCUGGUUGGGGAUAACACUUCGAAAGGAGUGCUAAUACCCGGUAUGGCGCAGCGGUCUUCGGAUCGCGGCGAGAAAGACCCGCAAGGGUUGCCAGAGGACGAGCCUGCGGCCCAUCAGCUAGUUGGCGAGGUAACGGCUCACCAAGGCGAAGACGGGUAGCUGGUCUGAGAGGAUGAUCAGCCACACUGGAACUGAGACACGGUCCAGACUCCUACGGGAGGCAGCAGUGGGGAAUAUUGCGCAAUGGGCGAAAGCCUGACGCAGCCACGCCGCGUGAGCGAUGAAGGCCUCGUGU
rnacentral:rRNA from 1 species